GAUGAACGCUGGCGGCGUGCUUAACACAUGCAAGUCGAACGGAAAGGCCCAAGCUUGCUUGGGUCCUCGAGUGGCGAACGGGUGAGUAACACGUGGGUGAUCUGCCCUUCACUUCGGGAUAAGCCUGGGAAACUGGGUCUAAUACCGGAUAGGACCACUUCUUGGAUGUUGUGGUGGGAAGUUUUCUCGGUGUUGGGUGAGCUCUCGCCCCAUCUGCUUGUUGGGGGGGGGAUGUGCCUCCAAAGCGCUGUCGGGUGUCCCGGCUGAGAGGGUGUGCGGCGACAUUUUGACACAGAUACGGCGCAGACGCCCACGGGGGGCAGAAGAGGGGAAUAUUGCACAAUGGGGGCAAGCCUGAUGCGGAGACGCGGCGUGGGGGAUGACGGCCUUCGGGUGGUAUACUCCGUUCGCGAGGGACGAAGCGUGUGUGUGACGGUACCGGGAGAAGAAGCACCGGCUAACUACGUG
rnacentral:rRNA from 1 species